rnacentral:siRNA from 1 species
UGGACUGAGCUUAGCCCAUGGU